GGUCGAUAUACGGGUCGAUUCGAAAGUUGACAUUUCGGACGUUGCGAUGUCAACAGAGAGAAUCCCAUGACGUCACAUAAUUGACGUUUACGAGCCUUCGUCGUUCCCGAUCUCCUCUUCCUAUUACCUGCUUCCUGAACGUUAUAAAUCCUUCGAAGACGAGACGGUUCCGAAGUAGCCAUGUCAAUCACAUAACCUCACACGAAUUCAUGCUUAAGGCUACAGAAUCAUCACAUCUUCUUGGAGAAGAGAGACAGAAAAGGAGAGGUCUAAAGAUACCUCCCAACCGCGUGGUCGUCUUGCUCGUCGAAUUCUCGUUUCUGGUCUCGAGUCACAUGUGCGUCUGUUGUUACGCCCUUGGUGCCAGUAGAGCAUGCGCUUUGAAUUCUCUAUGCCCACGUGUCUUGUUCUCCUUGUCAUCCG
rnacentral:lncRNA from 1 species